rnacentral:rRNA from 1 species
GACGAACGCUGGCGGUGUGCUUAACACAUGCAAGUGGUGCGACGAACCAGAGCUUGCUCUGGGGCAAAGCCGCGAACGGGUGAGUAACACGUGGGUAAUCUACCCCCGAUGACCGGGACAACCCCGAGGAAACUCGGGCUAAUACCGGAUGUGGUACGGAGACAUAAGUCUCUUUACUAAAGGUAGCUUCGGCUUCCGCAUUGGGAGGGGCCCGCGGCCCAUUAGCUAGUUGGUGGGGUCAAGGCCUACCAAGGCAACGAUGGGUAGCUGGUCUGAGAGGACGAUCAGCCACACUGGGACUGAGACACGGCCCAGACUCCUACGGAGGCAGCAGUGGGAAUCUUGCGCAAUGCGCGAAAGCGUGACGCAGCAACACCGCGUGAGGGAAGACGGCCUUAGGGUUGUAAACCUCUUUCAGAUGGGACGAAGGUGAUGCGGUGAAUAGCCGAUGUCAUUGACGGUACCGUCAGAAGAAGCUCCGGCUAACUACGUGCCAGCAGCCG